GCUGAUUGGAGAUGUAGAUUUUAAGGAGAUGGUGAGAGACAUGUUCUUAAAUCCUUUGGCGCAUCUCUUCUCAUCCACAAGAAGAUCUGUAAUCUCCUCUUGUUCGACAUAACCUUGAAUUGGAAAGUGAUUAAAAUUCAGGUAACCUGAUCUUGGAAUAACUGCAGAUAAGGAGUUGGAUGGUGAACUUGCCGCACCAUCUAUGCUGCGAGUAACUGAACUCUCUGCUGCAUCUUCUCUUCUACUGUAUCUAUGCUUGUGGAUGAGAAGAGAUGCGACAAAGGAUUAAAGAACAUGUCUUUCACCAUCUCCUUAAAAUCUGUCUCCAAUCAGCGGCUGAGACAGAGCAAAUCCAAUUUUCUUCCGUUGUAGAAUUUGGAGAUGUAGAUUUUUUAUUAAAUUCUUCGCCGCAGCUCUUCUCAUCCACAAGCAGACCUGUAAUCUCCUCUUGUUCAACCAAACCUUGAAUUGAAAAGUGAUUAAAAUUCAGAUAACCUAGUCUUGGAAUAACUGCAGAUAAGGAGUUGGACGGUGAACUUGCUGCACCAUCUAUGCUGCGAGUAACUGAACUCUUUAUUGCAUCUACCCUUCUAGUGAGAAGCUUUCUUUUAUUUUAACCAACAGCCUUUUGGUAUUGCAUAGAAGCCAGAGCUCAGGCAGAGAGUAGACAUGCAAGGGGCCAUCCUUCAUUCUGAUAGGUGUGGAUGCUGCAGUCUUCCAAUGCGCUGAUGGCCGUGCAUGUGGAGACAAUUUCUUCCUUCUGAUGGUUGUUGAUGGUGUGAUGCUCUUUAGCUUCCAAUGCACCUCUCUCUGGUGUGUUCCUCCUCUGCUUCUUGCAACUCCUCCAUAAACUUUAUAUAGAAGAAUACAAAUAAAUAAAAUAAGUUCAAGAAAAAUAUUAAAAUUGAUUUAUUAUUCUCCUUCACUUUUUCUUUUCUUCUAUUUUUCCUCUCUAUUUUCUUUAGCUCACAUGUUUUCUCAAUUUUUCCAAGAACCAAACAUAAGAUAAAUGAUCGGACAGAGGAAUUUUGGUGAGACAUGUUAAUACACCAAGGGUGUGUAUGUUUUCAAU
rnacentral:lncRNA from 1 species